CUGGAAUUGCAGUUUCUCUAUUAUACUCAUGGACUUGCAUCACAAGAACUAUGUGGUGGUUGCUUUUAUGAUUCUCCUGCUAAUUUUACAGCAGCAUUUUGACUUGACAUAUGCAUCCCGACAGCUGCAAAAAGUUCGCCUGCGGACCCGUGUCCGGAGUUUGAAAUGGCCAGAACUGCAGAGAAGUAUUGAUCGUUUUAAUCUCAACCGCCAUAAGAAGACAGAAAUAGAAGCUUUUAGACCAACACCGGGGACAGACCCAGGACAUAGUCCUGGUAUGGGUCACAACAGCCCACCCCCUGGAUGCCGGUGAACUUAAGGAUAUGUUAUGCAUGUGGGAAAGUACAACGAAUAAAAUUUUAACAUUUUCCAUGUCCGAUACCGAUGGAAAAUGAUCUUUUUGGGCUUGCUGCUUUUUCAAGUUUUCACAAAUAAUAAGGCAACUUCAGGAGACGCCUUUUGUAGAAAUUGGAAUGCUUUAGACUAGUUCUAUUUUGAAGAUGGUAUUGCAUAUUUGCAUGCAUGGAUUUGUUGGUUUGUGUAAAAUUGGAUUUGUUUUAUCACUAUUUUAGCUGAUAAUAUCCCAAUGAUAAGGAGAUUUUUGUGAUGACCACUACCGCACUUGUUAGAGCUGACUGAAGAGUUUCGUGUAUGUGGGAUGGGUGCGUGGGGGGUUUCUUUUCCUUUUUAUAUGUGUACUGUAUUUUUAUUUUUAUUUUUUAUGUGUGUACUCUAUUUGAUAUUACGGAUGAUUGAUUAUGAA
rnacentral:lncRNA from 1 species